GGUGUACAGGGUUUUGUCAUUCGUAUUGUGAAGCGACAAUAUGCUUUCAUCGUAUGCGAUGCCAAAAUCCAGACCCA
rnacentral:pre_miRNA from 1 species